rnacentral:tRNA from 1 species
UGCAGGGUAGAGUAACGGCCACUCACGGGCCUCAUAAGCCCGAUAAGCGGGUUCAACUCCCGCCCCUGCUA